CUCUCCAUGGUGUAGCGGUCAUCACGUUUGCUUUACAGAGUUCCGGCUGUGCGCAAAAGGUCGUGAGUUCAAUCCUCGCUGGGUUCA